GCCAUUUUCGAGUGAUGCCUGAUCUCAUCAAUCUAGCGGGAGAGACAGGAUAACCUGUCCGAGAGUAUAGCGCCACUAUGACUCCGCCGGAAAAAUUACUUUAAAAAUCGCCAAAAAUUACUUGGAGCAAAGGGCAGUCGGCGGAGCUUCGCCAAGGCUGGCGCAGUCGCUGGGAGCAGAGGCUGGGAGAUCGAUGCUGCUUGUCAGCUGUUGUGCAGAAUAACAUCAAUAUGCAAUAAUGGUGGCCAAAGGAGCCUGCACCCAUCCGUUUUUACAAACCCAGUGUAUAAAGCCAAAUGUCCCAUUUAAAGUUUGACAUUUGCAAUAGCAUUCUAUUUAAAAGGUUUAAUAAUGAUAGAAUGAAGACCACAAUAAAAGAGACCUCUACUUAGCUCAGCAAUUCUUACCUUUCUUACCUAUUUGAUGAAGAUGUCUUUUGAAAGGUGUACUGCAAGGAACAAAAUGUUUGUAAAUUCUCCUUUUACCAAGGUGGAUAAUUACUGUACCUUCCUCAUGGAAAAAGUUUUAUUUAAAGUGUUAUUUCUCAUUGAAUACUAUCAAAAAGGAAAAAAAAAUGACCUAAACUUUUGAGAUAGAUUUGGCUCUAGUAAGUAUUUAGUUAUAUCACUUGCAUAUCUGGGAGAAGAAAUAAGAGACUAUCAUCAGUACAUUCCCAUCUACUAAAAAAAUUUAUUUUACACAUGUCAAGGGAUUACUUAUAACUUCCAUUUUAUUACUAAUAGCUUGAACCCUUUUAAUGAAGACCUAACUCCUCCACCAGAAAUUUAAGUUUAUGUUCUUACUUUGUUUACUUAUAAAAUACAUCUCAGGUAUUUCGGAUGUCUUUUUUUUUUCUAAGCCUAUAUGAAAUGAAAAAUAUAUUGGCAAAAUAAAUGUUUAAACCUUUUACGUUAAAAUUACUUUGAAAGAUGAAAAGUUAGUGCUGUUUUUGUCUACGUUAUACUGAAAUUAAAUGUUUAUAAUUUAUAUUUUGGGUUUAUGUAUAAAUCAUGGAAUUUAUGCAAAAAUAUGAGUAGUACAGAUUCUCCUCUAAUUCUGUAGGACUUUGAAUAAUGUGAUAUUUUUCUUAUAAUUGGACCCUUGUGUUUUGAAGAAAUGCCAACUGCUUGAAGAAUCUCCUUGUUAUUUGUAUUAUUUGCUAUAGGGUUAGAUGUUGAGAAAUUCUGCUGACAAAAAAUUUUAAGCCAGUUUUACACUAAAUGUUCCUCAGUCUGAUUAAUUUGUUAUUGGAUGUAUUCUGUAUCUUUCUUUUGUAAUUUGUAACUUUUAUCCACUUAGCACGAAUGAUUCUAUUAAAGAAAAUCAUUAGGAAGUGGUAGAAACUUUAAAUCGCCCCAGAGUUUGCCUGUUUCCAUAUUUUAUUAUCUUAUAAUCUUCGGGAGUGCUUACACUUAUGGAGCUAACAUUUUCAGAGAUACAGCUUCUUAUAGUAACACUAAAACUUUCUUCCUCUUUGGACUGAAUACCUAUAAUUAUAACUAUAUGGUAGUUUAAGUUUCCUUGUGAUUAGUCAAAAAUACCAUUUUAGUAUGAAGCAAUGAAGUCUAUUAUUUGUUGUCCCAUAAUUGAGAAAGCUUAAAUACACCUUUUAUUAAGAGUUUGUAAAUUCUAGCUUAGUCUACACAGAUUUUUAUAUCAAUUUGUUUAUAUUUUUAUUAAUGUCAUUUCUGGAAGUGUGAAAAUGUUAAUGUUCAACAAGCAACAUUAAAAAUAGAUUUGAAACAUUUAUAUAUAGAGAGGUACACAUUUAUUUACUGUUUAGGUACUGAAGAUUAUCACUUAAUAAAAAAUAUAUAUCCCA
rnacentral:lncRNA from 1 species